AGUGAACGCUGGCGGUAGGCCUAACACAUGCAAGUCGAACGACAGCACAGUAAGAGCUUGCUCUUACGGGUGGCGAGUGGCGGACGGGUGAGGAAUACAUCGGAAUCUACUUUUUCGUGGGGGAUAACGUAGGGAAACUUACGCUAAUACCGCAUACGACCUACGGGUGAAAGCAGGGGGUCUUCGGACCUUGCGCGAUUGAAUGAGCCGAUGUCGGAUUAGCUAGUUGGCGGGGUAAAGGCCCACCAAGGCGACGAUCCGUAGCUGGUCUGAGAGGAUGAUCAGCCACACUGGAACUGAGACACGGUCCAGACUCCUACGGGAGGCAGCAGUGGGGAAUAUUGGACAAUGGGCGCAAGCCUGAUCCAGCCAUACCGCGUGGGUGAAGAAGGCCUUCGGGUUGUAAAGCCCUUUUGUUGGGAAAGAAAAGCAGCAGGUUAAUACCCCGCUGUUCUGACGGUACCCAAAGAAUAAGCACCGGCUAACUUCGUG
rnacentral:rRNA from 1 species